rnacentral:rRNA from 1 species
GUGGGGAAUAUUAGGCAAUGGGCGAAAGCCUGACCUAGCAACGCCGCGUGAAGGAAGAAGGCCUUCGGGUUGUAAACUUCUUUUAUGAGGGACGAAGGACGUGACGGUACCUCAUGAAUAAGCCACGGCUAACUACGUGCCAGCAGCCGCGGUAAUACGUAGGUGGCGAGCGUUGUCCGGAUUUACUGGGUGUAAAGGGCGCGUAGGCGGACUGGCAAGUCAGAUGUGAAAUACAGGGGCUCAACCCCUGAACUGCAUUUGAAACUGUUGGUCUUGAGUAUCGGAGAGGCAAGCGGAAUUCCUAGUGUAGCGGUGAAAUGCGUAGAUAUUAGGAGGAACACCAGUGGCGAAGGCGGCUUGCUGGACGACAACUGACGCUGAGGCGCGAAAGCGUGGGGAGCAAACAGGAUUAGAAACCCCAGUAGUCC